GGGUAGGUUAGUUUUUUUCAAAUAUAAAAUCUUCUCCCUCACCACUCCAGGUGCGUUCCUCCUGAAGGUGUGCACUUGGUUGAAGAGGAUGACCUUCCCUGAGAGAGGAGGACUGUUCAAGGGUUCUUCUGUCAAUGAGCAGCUGUGCUCCCCAGCUAGAACCUCUGAACAAGCUCUUAAAUAUAAAAUCUUUUAAACUUUUUU
rnacentral:sRNA from 1 species